CGAAUCGUAAUGGCGAGGCGACGAGUCGUAUUCAACGAGUGGGAGAGUUCACGUGCACACGAAGAGGAAUAUUCGGUGCGAUAAUUUGAUAUCAGCGACAUAAUUAUAAUCAAAACUUAACGCAUUUUUGUUAAGGAAACUAAGCUAACAAAACUGCGUGAGUUGAAAGCUACUACCGCUUGAAUGGCAGUCACGAUCGUGUCAAAUGUACUGCGACGAGUUUGAUGAUCAGCUCCGGGACAUAAGCUUCAGUUUCGAUGUCAGCGAGAUGCGCCUCUCGACAGAUUUUGCGACGGAGAUGUGACUUAUCGAUUUACCGAUCCGAAAACCAUCACUAUAAGUUACGACGAUAAACACGUAAAUACCGGAAAAUACCAACCCGAUACGUUAUCACUCCAAUUUUCGAAUCUUCGAAUUGUCUUAUUUAGAAAUAUCGCGUUUAAAGCUAUGAUUAGGACACAUUAUGUCAAAGACAAUGAAAUUAAUAUUAUAUAUUCAAAGGUAUUUAUUACAUUUUUAAAGGUACAUUCGAUUUCGUACCGUAAAAGUUGGAAUAAGUUGGCGUAAUAAUUUGAAAAAAUUGCGAAUUAAAAUCUGGCUUUUGCCAUUAAUUUAAACCAUUAAAUUAAACCAUUGAUUAUAACAUGUUUUAAUAAAUAUUAAAUAAUGUAUAACAUCCAAGUAGCUAUUGAAAAUUUGUUGUAGUAAUAAAA